UCGAGCGGUAAGCAUCCUUCGGGAUGCCUAGAGCGGCGAACGGGUGAGUAACACGUAGGUAAUCUGCCGUACGAUUAGGGAUAGCCCAUGGAAACAUGGGGUAAUACCGAAUACGACCUUCGGGGGAAAGGCGCUUCGGCGCCGUCGUACGAUGAGCCUGCGGCGCAUUAGUUAGUUGGCGGGGUAAAAGCCCACCAAGGCGACGAUGCGUAGCCGACCUGAGAGGGUGAUCGGCCACACUGGGACUGAGAUACGGCCCAGACUCCUACGGGAGGCAGCAGCUAAGAAUCUUCCGCAAUGGACGCAAGUCUGACGGAGCGACGCCGCGUGGGCGAGGAAGGCCGAAAGGUUGUAAAGCCCUUUUCUGCGUGAGGAAUAAGGUAAGGAGGGAAUGCCUUACUGAUGACGGUAGCGCAGGAAUAAGCCCCGGGCAAUUACGUGCCAGCAGCCGCGGUAACACGUAUGGGGCGAGCGUUGUUCGGAAUUAUUGGGCGUAAAGGGCGCGCAGGCGGUCAUGCAAGCUUGGUGUGAAAGACCACGGCUCAACGGUGGAAACGCGCUGAGAACUGUAUGACUUGAGUUUCGGAGGGGGAGCUGGAAUUCCAGGUGUAGGGGUGAAAUCUGUAGAUAUCUGGAAGAACAUCAGUGGCGAAGGCGAGCUCCUGGCCGUGAACUGACGCUGAGGCGCGAAAGCGUGGGGAGCGAACCAGGAUUAGAUACCCUGGUUAGUCCACGCCCGUAAACGAU
rnacentral:rRNA from 1 species